CCUACGGGAGACUGCAGUAGGGAAUAUUGCUCAAUGGGGGAAACCCUGAAGCAGCAACGCCGCGUGGAGGAUGAAGGUUUUAGGAUUGUAAACUCCUUUUUUUAGAGAAGAUUAUGACGGUAUCUAACGAAUAAGCACCGUCUAACUCCGUGCCAGCAGCCGCGGUAAUACGGAGGGUGCAAGCGUUACUCGGAAUCUCUGGGCGUAAAGCGUGCGUAGGCGGGGUAAUAAGUCAGAUGUGAAAUCCUGUAGCUUAACUACAGAACUGCAUUUGAAACUGUUACUCUGGAGUGUGGGAGAGGUAGGUGGAAUUCGUGGUGUAGGGGUAAAAUCCGUAGAGAUCAAGCGGAAUACUCAUUGCGAAGGCGACCUGCUGGAACAUUACUGACGCUGAUGCACGAAAGCGUGGGGAGCAAACAGGAUUAGAUACCCUAGUAGUC
rnacentral:rRNA from 1 species